GUACUGAAACACCCAUCUGAAGGAGGAUUUAGCAGUAAGCGGGAAGUAGAGCGUCCCGCUGAAACUGGCCCUGAAGCGCGCACACACCGCCCGUCACUCUCCCCAAAGCCACCCAUACAUUAAUUAAACCCUAAUAAUCAAAAAGGGGAGGCAAGUCGUAACAUGGUAAGUGUACCGGAAGGUGCACUUGGAAAAAUC
rnacentral:rRNA from 1 species